AUGUUUCUUUCUUUUGGUUGUUGGUCUCUGUUUUACCAUUUGCUCUUAGUUUUGAUUGUUGCCGAGUUUAACUAUCCUCUCGCAAGUUUUUCCGAUUUGUGGAAGAGGCUGAAAAUCUCGGUAGAGCGUGUGUUGUCAUCAGCUUUGUCUCUUGUUCCUACGAGAUGGGAGUUAAAUAAUGACACGAAAUUAAACAAAUUUCCACUGCGUCCCUGCAGUAAUUGCUACUAUAUGUGGAGAAACAAGCUGAAAUAUUGUUCUAGAACAAGUUACCUCGGCCAUAUUCUUAACUUGAAACCUGAUUUUGUAACAGUUGCCGCAAAAUGA
rnacentral:rRNA from 1 species